rnacentral:tRNA from 1 species
GGUGGUUAGCUCAGUGGUAGAGCACAUGCUUAGCGCGCAUGAGGUCAUGAGGUCCUGGGUUCAAUCCCCAGUGCCUCCA